rnacentral:rRNA from 1 species
GCCAGCGGCGAUAGCACGUUGAAGGCACCAGUUUCCAAUGGAUCACUGAAGUUAAGUAACGUUGCGCUUGGUUAGUAUCCGGAUUGGUGACCAUUUGAGCAAUCGCAUGCUGCUGGGU